rnacentral:rRNA from 1 species
GACAGAGGGUGCAAACGUUGUUCGGAAUUACUGGGCGUAAAGCGCGUGUAGGCGGCUAUGCAAGUCGGGCGUGAAAUCCCUCGGCUCAACCGAGGAAGUGCACUCGAAACUGCGUAGCUAGAGUCUCGGAGAGGAAGGUGGAAUACUUGGUGUAGAGGUGAAAUUCGUAGAUAUCAAGCGGAACACCGGUGGCGAAGGCGGCCUUCUGGACAGUGACUGACGCUGAGACGCGAAAGCGUGGGGAGCAAACAGG